AAGAGUAAUAUAAACAGAAUCUACAGCUGUCUAUCUAAAUUAUCAUGAGUUUGGAAAAACAAAUUCUGAAAUUCUCAGUUAUUCUGAAAUUCGAGAGAUACUAAACUCACUAUGUGUAGCAGUUUGUUAGAUAUGAACAUGGACACAGCUGAAUGAUGAAAACAUACCCUGCCUAAAGUAUUGUUCCAGACACAAUGUCUAUCACUGGCAGUGAAGAUGAAUUGUAUACAGUAAACUUAUGGAAUGUCACAGAACCUAUCAUGCUUUUGGAAGAGAUAGAUUUGAUAAAAAAUCUGGAAUUGAGAAGAAGAAACAACAGAGACGCACAAAUUGCCUACCUCUGUCUUGUCUUCCUUGUUUGCCUUAUGUUGUUAUGCUUGUAUUUACUAAGAGGCUUCCAUAGUCGCAACACCUACAAGAGGGAUCAUUCCCUGCAUUAUAUGGAACAUUUGCCAUAUGUUAAUGAUGUAGUGUUGGCCAAGGCUAAGUAUCUGCCAAUGUUUCAUAAAGAGAAUUUGUUUACCACAGUGUAUGUCCAUGAUUGUGGUACAGAUCCAUAACAAUUAUUUCUACUUGUUUUAUGUUGUUUCCUUUUUAUCAAUCCACUGAAAUAUUGUUGACAGUUAACAGAGGUAUUCAAGCUUUAGAAAAAAAUCUUUACUUGGAUGUUGUUUAAAGUUUAUUGUAAAUUAAGUGCAGUUUAAAUUAUUGUUACAUUUUCAUUAAAAUGUUGUUCUUUUUGUUUCUCUAUUGAUGAAAUGGUGAGUUUGUUUCUUUAAGCCUGAUUCAUACAGUACUUUUUAUGGUGUGACCUAAAAUGCUUACAAUAUUAUUUUUUUUAGUUUAGUUAUAAAACUAAGCAACUUGUAAGACUAACAAACUAAGAAAGGUACAUCCCCACAAGAAUUCUUUUAUGCAUUUAAUUUGUACUUUGAUUUUUGUUUUAUAAUGUCAUAUAGAAAUGCCUUGUGAUAUUUUUUAGUGCCAUAUUGAGUAUUUUAAUUUGCAACUGUUAUGAUACUGUAACAUAAAUAUUUGGUUUUAGCUUUAGCUAGUAAGUUCUUCAUCAAGAUCUAGCAACUCAUUUUGUAGUUCAGUUUACCUGUUUCUAAGUCAUCAUUGAACCAUGUUUAUUUUCCUCAGCAGAGAACAGGUACCCAUUCAAACUAAUGAAUUUUGGGGCUUUAGUCCAAAGUUGAAAUCAUGAAUAAAAUUCAUGGUAUUGCCUGUUGGAUUUACAGUAGAAUGAUUAUUCACUCCAUCCCCAAGCUUUUUGUAAGCUUUAUUUUUAACAGUGGCCCCCACUCUUCAGUGAUAAAAUUAGGAAAUAUAAGUCAUGAAUGUUGAGCAUUGGAUUCUUUUUCAGUUUCUGUUUUCUUACUUUGAGAAAACUGUCAAAGAAAUACAUUUUUAAUUCAUUGACGAAGACACAUGUUGUGAUCCACACUUGAUUUUUGUUUCAUUCAUACUUGCAUUUAUGGGAAUUUUUGCAAAGGUGUAUUUUACAAUUUUACAUAAUUUUUUAGUAUAACUACAUAAUCUCUUAAUUUAUAUUCCUAUAUUUUAGCUUCUUACACACACACACACAUAAUCCAGGUUUUUAAUUUCCUCACCAACCACAAGUUUGAGUGAUGAGUAAAAUUGUCUUCAUUCCAGAUAUAAAGUUGUAACAUGGGAAAAGAACUAUGUCACUUGUGAGAAGUUUGUUUUGAAAGCCCUGUUAUUAUAGUCUUUCAUUUUUUAAUUCAGAUCUAAUCUAGUCGUUAUGAAGAUCUAAUCAUCUUGGCUGUUUAAAAUCCAAUCAUAUUGGAAAGCUAGUCAUUUUAAUUUUAUGAUAGUCAUUAUUCUGUUCUUUAUUUAAAAUUAUAUACAAAUGUUUUUUUUUAUAUUGUCUGCUGCACGGGAACUGUGAUGACACUAAGGAUAGAUGGAAAUAAACUUGAAGGAACAUUUGAGCUUUAAUUGCAUUGAACAUAAAAGUAUCAACAAGAUUUUUUUUUUCCUCCAGUCCCAUUGAGUGCUGAGAAAACUGAGAAGAUGAAGUAGGAUUGGUCAAAAAUAAUCUAAAUGAAGUAUGAUUGGUCAAAAAUAAUCUAAGACCUUAUGGGUAGUAGUGUUUUUAGUGGCUCCCUUAAGGAAAAGCCUCUCUUGUUUGUGUAGGCCUUCCAUGUCAUGCAAAGAUAUCAACAAAUAAAAGUGUUAUUAAAAGUAUAUUACCAUUAACCUCAUCCAGCUUGAAAUAGGUACAAAAUGUUUAAUAGUAAAAUGAAAGAGGCAGUCUUUUUGUUAUAUGGAUCUACAUUAUCUACAACUCUGAAAGAGGUUUAAAAAAAACAACUCAAGAUAGAUGUUGUUGUUUUUUCCUCUGCAAAUUCUGUUAAUGAUAAUAAAGGCCUCUUAGUGAAGAACUGAAUACCUCUAUUGUGAUUUUGAAUGAUAUGUGAGCCAGUACAUUUGACGAUUUGUGUUUUACAGAAAUUCUCUGUAUCAACUUUUUUUUUCUUGGUUUUCAACAUUGUUCACUUACAUUCUGAAUAAUCUUAAUUUGUUGAUAUAGCAAAUCACUAUUUCAUUGGAAGAAUCAUGUGUAUCAUUCUGUUUACCGGUGCAGUAUGUUCGCGCAUAUGACCCGCGGGUUAUACAAGUUUUUACUAAAUUUAUUUUACUAAUAAUUAUAGCAUAACGGGAACUAUGGACAUACCGGUGGGUCUUUAUAACUCCUCUAGUUGGCUGUGUGGUUGUGAAAUGUGCAUUGGAAAGCUUUAUAAACAUCUCAUUAUAAACUUCAAGAAAACAAAUAGGACAGAUGUGGCAGAGAAUCUUUACUAUACCAGUAAUCAAUUGUGACACGCAAGUAAGCAUCUACCGAUACCGGUCAUGUCGAAACGUGUAGACUACAACGUCACUGUCCUCGCUAGACUUAGUGAAGCCAUCGAAACUUGAAUCCUAUUCACUGUCUUCCAAUAAACGAAGCAUGUUGGCAGCAGCAGUUGUGUUAUAAAUCUCUCUUGUCUUCAUCAUCAUCAGUAACAGCGCUCACAUUGUUAGCCAAAAUGAAGCUGCCAUCUACUGCUGGCUCUGAAUUAGCUUCACUAAUUGUUUGCAAGCCAGCCUUCUUGAAACCACUGCGAAUAGUUUCAUCGCUGAUUUGCUGCCAGCACCCAUUUGCUUCAGUGUAUAGAGCACGUCUCUGCUCUCCUUCACUCAUUCAUUUCUCCCGUUCGUUACGGACACUUGAGGCUUACAUGUUAAGCCAUAUGGAAUGUGCGCACCGGUCUUAUUGAUCUGUUUGUGAACAGACGGUUUUUUGUGCAACCACAAAAUCAACAACGACUUUGGCAGCAAGAAUCCACUCUGUCUAGCACGAUACCAUCGUUCAGUCCACUCUUUCAUCACGUCCUUUUGUAUUGUACAGUUCGAUUGCUCCCUGAGGCAGUUUCUCACGUGGCAUUAUGUCACUCUUUUGAAUAUGAUCAUUGGUCUCAACUUGUCACGGGGAGCUCGCCAGGACAACCGUGAACCAGGUGCAUUAAUGUCCAGUUGUGGUAAUAGCAACUGUUUUACACCCACUUUCCGCUACAGUGCGACUAGCCAGAAUAACAAAUGACAUGGGUACCUCAUAAACCUCAUCCAGCGGAAGGAUUUCAAUUCUGUUCUACGAUAUCCUUUCUAACAAAAAGUCCUUAACUUUUAUUCCCCGAUUCCCAGUUUCUGGCCAACGAACGAAUCAACAGCUGAUUAGUAUCCUGAAUUAAAAAAACCCAAUUGUUUCCACUAGUGAAAUUAUCCAUCUUUAUUUCAGCAGUCAUUAUUUUGGCCUUCAGUUUGAUACCAACAAUUGACACUGCCCUGUACUGCGAGGUUUGUCUCCAGCUGUGGCCACCUAACCUUUCCCCCCUCUAUGAGCUCUUUUGCUGGGAUUAAUUUGCUGUAGACUUUCAAUGUCUUUUCGCCUUUCGCGAACUGACUUUUCAUCAACGUCAUACAGUCUUCCGGCAGCGCUAUUGUAGCAGCAACUGCACAAACGUACAGCUUAAAAUCGGCUGUAUAUGAAUUACGCUUUGGUAUUUUCAGACUUUAAAAGCUCUACUGAGUAUGCUACUGAUUAUAAUUAAUAAACAUUAACUAUACAUGCUGCACACUAAAGAAUACCCGUGUUGUUGAUCUUCCCUGCACAAUCUAGCAAAUAACUAGGUCAACGACUUACUGUCGAAACAACAUAGGCCUAUUACAGCUACGGCCGUUGGCUCGUAUUUCACACGCAUGUUUCACUCUAGUUGGAAGCACAACUGGAGCACGACUGCGUGUCGAGGGACAGAUGAGCCACAACUUAAUGUACUGGUAGAUUGCGACAAGUUCCGCUUUGCACAUGCGGACUAUAUGAGUGUGUGUUGUUGGUUUUUACUUAUCUUGUACGGGGUACAUGCUAAAAAAAUAGGGUACUUUUACUGAAGUUCUUUUAACGUCUCUAUUAAAUGUAUGUUGAGCCUUUGAAGUUUGUACGACUAGAACAUUUGUAAAAGUACCUCUCUUAAAUUUAUCUUUCAGCUCUUGUUAUUUACAUCUAUGUAGUGCCACUUCUAAAUGGUUUGUUAUUUAAAUCCACAACUCUUAAACUCUAGCAUAAGUUUAAACAUUUUAAUGCAUACAAAAUAAACCUUAAGCGCAGUGGAACUAAAAUUUAUGAAAUAUUUAAACAUUUGUACAUGUAAAAAUAUGUACUUAAAAAUGUUAGAUUUUUUUUUUUACCCCACAAUAUAAUUAGCAAUUUAAUUGACUUUAUAGCAUUAUUUAUUUAUUUGCGUUGCUGUCACAAGUAAGACUUAUUUGACUAAAGUGAUUAGUCCUGUUCAGUCAUCUUUUAGACAGCUAAGUUUUCAUCUUUUUGACAAUGUAUUGAUUGACAUUCUAAAUAUGUUUAUUAUGUCUGUGAUUGUAGAUAGUAUAGAUUUUUGGUGUAGCCAAACUAACUCAUUUCUACCUUUGUAUUAUGUUCUGCAGUGACUUUCAUAAUAAGGACAUGUAAGAAACAACAAUUUUUGAAGUGGUACAUUAUUAGCCUUGCAAGUUUGGGUCCUAAUUGUAUAUAGAAUUUUCUCAAAUUUUGAGCCAGUAGAAAGAAUACAGUACUGCUCAAGCUUCUCAGUGCCUUACCAAUGGCAGCAAAAAUAUUCCUUAGAUCUACAUAGUUAUUAAGACAUGCCAGCAUUGGAAUGUCUAAAGUAUUAUAAUUAUUAUAAAGCUAAAGCAUUAUUCUCUCUAGCUUCCUACCAAAACAAAAUAUUUUGUUAUUGUUGAUAUAUUUGUGUUUCCUGGGCAACGACUUGUAUUACUUUUAUCAUCAUCAGCUCAGCAAAAUAUUUGAUUUAUUACUUGUACUUGUAGGCUGUAUUUUGGAGUCACAUAUUGUGUCAUUUUAUAACUAUCUUAUGUAACUUUACAACUAUGUUUUUGUGUAACUAUUAUAACUAGAUUAACAAAACCAAUAAAGAAAAGAUUAUUUUUUUAAAAUUCUUUCUCAUUUAUUUUAUUUCAUAAAAACAAAAUGAUUGCAUAAUAUUUGUUAAAAAUGUGAACUCACAAAAAGCUGUACACAUUGUGUAAUGUUUGGGGGUGGCAUUGAUAGAGCCAAUCAAAUACAACAAACAGCUUUUGCUUUUUAAAUGCACAAAACAAGUUAAUACUGUAGAAAAUGUGUCAAUCAAUGCACAAUUCACUUGUGAACAAAUUACACACACAGUAACUUUUAAAAAAGAAAAACCCAAAAAAUUAAUUGCUUUGAAAUAAAAGAAAAAAACAAAAAACAAUUAUUAGUAAAAAAAAAUAAUUAAAUAUCAAGUCAAUAAAACCAUACGAUCUGUAUAAUAGUUUUGUAAGUACAUUCUGUAUAUAUAUAUAUUUUGGGAAAGGGGAGGUGGGCAGUUAUAGUCCAUAGAACAUUUCCAAUUACUAUAUGACUAGUCAAUGAAAGAUCUUUACAACAAAUCUCUUCAAUAAUAUACAGCUGUUACUUUGUAUCUGUUGACUGAAAUAUCUUUAGAUGGUGCUGCUGAAGUAGAACACCUUUAGAGAAGUAAAUAAUUUAUACCCAAUUGACCAAAGAUCUCAUUAUAGUGUGAAUGUGUUGUAAAGAAUAAAACGUGUGUGCUAUUUGUUGUUUUUAGCUAAUAGUUUUGAAAAUGGUAUAAAUACUAAAAGUCAUUAUAUCAUACAACAUUUGUAUUAGUAAAGUCCCCAGAAUCCAAUUCAUACUGCAAAAAAAUGUCAAUUUAUUUUCAUUACAUUUAAACUUCACUUUAUUUCUGCUUUACACUAACACAUUCAUUUAUAAAACCAAUUGAAUACUUUGUCUUCUUUAAAGCUGUGAAAAAACUGAUUACAUCAUUUUUAUUAUUGUUUGAAUCAAAAGUAAAGAUGACAUAGCAAUUAAGAAAGCAAAGAUAUAUAAAUUGUUUUAUAUGUAUAUAAUUUUAAUUUGACAAGACAUUUAAAAAGACAUUCAAAAGAACAUUUUAAAAAUCAUCUAUUUCUUUCUUAAUUCAAAAUUUAAAUGAGAAAUAAUUUAAAUACUUUCUUUUUUUCACAUAUUUGAUUCUAAAUGAAUAUCCAAAAUAGAUACUGGUUGAAAAAAAAGACAAUAAGAAACAACCCUGUAUCUAAAAAUAAAACAUUUCAAUAGCUUACUGGUCGCAGUAGCUAAAGUUCAAACAUGAUAUGUUCAAUUGCUCUCUGAGGGGAGAAGCUCUGGACACACAAACAAUAUUUUUUGUUUGGUGAUGACUCCAGUAGACAAUUAGCUCAAAAGUAAUUGAUUGGAAUUAAUUGUAUUCAACAUGCUUUCUUUUCCUGAUGUGAAAUAAUCCUUUGAGAAAAAAACAAAGGUUAAUACGUUUGACAUGAUAAUCAAAUGUUGCACUCAAGACAAGGGAACGUGGACUAUCAAUUAGUCAAACAAAUAACAGGACAAAAUAUUAAUCAAUUUAUUAAAAUUAUUAGCUGUGGUUUGAAUCAAAU
rnacentral:sRNA from 1 species